ACUAUAAGGAAUUCUUAAUCCAAUGCUUUCUAGUAUUUUAGCAUUCAUAGAACAUUCCUGGAUCAGAUAAUGGAUUCUGGAGCCAUAGUACCUGGGUUCAAAUCCUAACUUUUCUACUUACAAGCUGAGUGGUGUUGGAUUAAUUGCAUAACCUCUCUAAGCCUAAAUUCCUUCAUCUAUAAAGUAGACCUACCUUAUCAGACAGGUAGUUGUGAGAUUAAACGAGUUAAUGCACACAAACAUUUCAGUUCCCAGCACUUAGUAAAGGACUGGAUGUGUUAGCUAUUGUUGUUAGUCUUUCAGAAAGAAUUUCCAUUUAAAUAAGAAAUGUCUAUAGAAAUUGCUUGCACAGAAAUCUUUUAGCUCAAGAAAAUUUCCCUGGGCUGCAGAUCCUGCUAAGUAUUCCUGUGUUGUUUUUCUCCUGUGGCUCAGUGCAACACAAAUACCUUUGUCAUCUUUUAAAAAAUUCAAUUCUUUGGCUUGGUACUUGAGAGAGAUGAGCAAAGGAUGAUGCAACACACACAGCCUGUAUCUUCUUAGACAAGUUUCUUUUCCCUGGGGAAUCAGAUAGGCACGAGUGACAUCCAGAGUGAGCUGGCAUUUUUAUGUUUCUCAGAGGAAUGGGUCCCAGUGCAUUGUCCCCUCUCAAUCUCCUAAUAGGCGCCAGUCUGUGAGGGUCGGUUCUCAGCUCCUACAGCCCGGCCAUCCCCUUGGUCCCCGUGUGUGUACACACGGACAGCAUGCAUGCCCCCCAACCAGGUCACCCAGGUGGGUACCAGGGCUCCCAGCAAGGCUGGUGAGAUGUGGGUCUGGACCUUGGCACUUGGAGUGCCAUCGGGGGCUUCCUUUGACCUUCCUGACCAUCGCCCACUCCUCCACAAGGUCAGAGGGGCUCCAUACUCUGUGCUCCAGUAGCCCACUGAGUGGAAGUUGCUCUAAACAUCUGCGUCCCCAGCCAGACCUGUGCUCUUGUAGGAAAAGAAGACUUUUAUGUCUGCAUCUGCAGAUGUAACACGGGGCACAGUUGCAAGGACAGAUAGAUGCUUUUCUCCUUAGCAAUAGCCAUGUUGGUGCUCAUAACUCUGUCAUCUCUGUGGAAAGUUACAGCAAGUUCACUGGGGAAAAAAAACAGAAAAGACCAAACUUUCUACAUGACUAACCAGUUCUAGUUCCUUCUGGAUUGCCCCGGGGGCCUUGGAGGAGCCUUUUCAGCUCUCUGGACCUCAGUUUCUCCUCUGUGAGAUCAGUCUGCUCCAUACUCAACAAAGUGCUUCAAAGAUCCUGGCCGAGCCCUGGUAUAAAGGAGCUGGUGGCUCUGGGCCAUACCUGUGUUUCUGCUGUUUCCUCCCUGCUGGCUUCUGGUUGCUACUGACAUUCUCAAAGCUUCCCAUUGUGUACAUGAGGCCUGCAAGAGGUUUCUUAACUGAGACAGAAACACUGACCAUCAGCCAGUGUAAGUGGAACUAAUUAAAGUGCACAGGCCCUGCCUAAGUUAGUGGGACUUGUCCUUGAGGGACUUGGCCAUACUGGAGAGGGGGUUCUCUUCCAAGUUGCUCAGGCCUGAGCUCAACCCCCACAUUCCCCCACCCCUCAGUCCUUUUGUGCCAGUCUCUCCAUCCACUCUCUGAAUGCUUCCUCUAGUGUGAACAGCUUGUACCUGCGAACACCUGGAGUCUGGGGCUGGUCCAGUGUGCACUCAGCACUGGCAUCACCUCAUUCUCUUCCCAUUUCUUGCAGCCCUGCGCACCCCUUGACCGUGAAUGCCCAGCUUGAUGCAUUUGAUCUGAAAGGGGCCUGCAGACUCCUGCAUCGAGUCAGCUGUGGUGGUGCCAAGAUGGCAGGUGUGAUGUUUUCUUGGGGAGGCUGAGCUGGAAAAAGCACCACCUCCUGUCGUAAUGGAGCUAAUGUUGCUCCGCUCAGGACAGCUGCACUUACAUGUGGUGUGAAACCACUGUUAUUUAAACUUGACGAUGUGAGGAGAUGCCAGCUCAUCCUCUUGCAGCAUGUAAAUUAUGUCUAUUGCGCGUGCACUUUUUUAAACCCUGAUUCUCCUGAAUUAUGGAAGAUAGACAAGACUGCUGAUGGUCCUCGGCACUCUCCUGGGCCCUGCGGGCUGUGAGUGCUCUUUGCGCACAGAUGGCUAAGAGGAAGGGGUGGCUGGAGCCCACAGGCUGCUCCAGUCAUUAAGUCCCAAGCCUGGCUGUGUUCUGAGCGCCUGAGGAGCCUCUACUCUAAGCUCCGAGGGGUCAACCUCAGUUGAAUUGCCUACUGCCUUCCCUUGGGAAUGUCCAUGCUGCGUAUCAUAAAGUAGAUGAAUCUUACAGCUUGUCUGCUGUGAAAGGUUUUUGGAUAGAAACUGGUGUGGUGGUCAUAGGUUUGCAUCCUGGGUUCUUUCCCACUAUGGCAUAGAAGUACAGGAAAGGCUGGCAUUCGUGUUUGGUGGAGAAGGUGGAUAGAGCUCUUAGCAGAAAGAAUUCUUCUUUCAAAGGCAGCUGAUCAGUUGGUGUUCCAAAGCCACUCAUAUAGUGGCUGCCAAACACAGUAUCCCUUGCAUGUAUUUGAAUCAAACUUGAACUAAACCCAGAAAAAGGAGCCUGGAUUAUAACUUCAGCUAGAACAAGUGACCAGAAUAUGUCCCCAGUAAAGGCCUGGUGGAAUCCCAGGGGCAGGGACGAGGAGCAACUGCCAUGGAUUCCUUUUACUCAGCAUAAAGUCCAGUUUGCCUUCUGUUUCACAUUCUUUGAAUUUCCUGAAUCUGCCAAUGCUUACAACAGCUGCAGGAAAAAUGAAUUGCGUGGUGAUGGUGGAGGAGGGGACAGAAGGAGAGAGGCCCAGGGGGAAAGUGGGCCAUCUGAGAAAGACUUCAGAGGAGCUACCACUGUGGAGCUUGAAGUGCUCAGCUCCCCAGCUGGAAAGGCUGACCCCUAAACCCGCCUUGGGCUCUCUCGCUACCUGGUCCUCUGAGAUGCUCUUUCCCACUUGUCCCUGUGCACUGAUCACUCCCCAUUGCUUUACUGGGUCACAGCCCCUGGCUCUAGUCUCCUGCCCCAUCCCUAGUCCACUUUUUGGGCCUUUAAGAAGCCCAUGCAUCCCGGGCAGUUUGGCAGUGGUUUUACUUACUUCUGCCAGCUCUGCAGCGCUGGGUGUUGCACUAACCUCUUUCCCGGGUCUCUAAAGGGAUCUAUCUGGGAAGGAAAACCUGGUAACCCAUUGUCUGAAUUACCUCCCCAGCCAUUAAACAUCUGGGUGUGAAUUAGUCAGUUGACUACCUGAAACACUGGUGGCAACAGCCGUGACUUAAAAGGAGCCUUGGAUCUGGGAAUCUGAAUUUAAAUUUGUCUCAUUGUCUUUGGGGCCUAACCUCAUUGUGCCAGGAGCACCUGACAGGUUCAUGCACCAGACGACCACGACGACGUUCAGAGCCCUAGCCACCCUGUGUGACUGGGAGCUGUCCUUGUGCUGUCACUCUUCUGCCUCUAAAGUAGGAGUGCUGAUCUGCUCCCCAAGAUGUUAUAGUAAGGAAACCGACAGAAAUCGGAGCUUGGAUGGCUGUGAGCACCCCAGUGUUCCCUAACUGGCAUUUGCUGUUACUACCCCUUCACUCCGUGUGCCCGGACAUAACCCCCAGGAAGCCCUGAGCAUGAACGCACUAGCAAGCCACCCGGGCUUGAGUGACAUCUGGGGAGGACCUGGCAGCAGCCCUGGAUGCUUCUCCUCUCCGACCAGGAGGUGCUGGGCCCUGUGAGCUCCUGGGUCACUAAGGAAGGUGGCCAGGCCUGUGGAAGGCAGAUGGUGUAGAGAAAAGGCUGGAAGCCAUGGCUUUGCCAACAGAGCCAACAGAAACCAUCCGGAGGGGCAGCUCUGGGGAGGGAAGCGGCAUAUGGCUUCAGCAGGGGCAAAUGAGUGAAGUGCUGUCUUCUCACUACUUUAUGAGCGCUGUUUCCUCAAGGCACUUAAUUCAAAGUGUCUUCGCGCAUCUCCAGUGUGAGCAACUGACUGCACACAGCUACUUCCAUGCUAGUAUGUGAAACAUGAUUUACCCACACACGCACCAAAGAGUAGCAAUAACAGUUUGCUCACUGAAGUUGAGAUAAAAAUCUUGCCAUCUGUUCCAAGAAAGAAAUAAAGAAAAGCCCUGCUGAAAAAUUAGGAAAUUUCCCCUAGGAUGCUGAGAUUAUGUAGCUCACACUAAAAUGGUGUUUUAAAAAUAAUAAUCCCGCAUACAUGGUUGCUCAUUGUGUGCUCUGUGCACUUUAUAGAAUUUGAAUGGUAGGAAUCUGUCCCUGGAUGUGACCAAGCAUAUUGUUCUGCCCCUACUGCCAGCCAGGAUAUGUCCAUCAAGCAUGGGGUUUGAACAUUUUGGGACAUGCACUAUGUACUGUUUUCACAUAUCAGAAAAAAGAUCUGCCCUCAGAAGAGGCAGAAUGGCAGAGUGGCUUUUAAGGGCAGACCUGGGGGCUACGUGACCAGGGCUGGAAGCCUAGCCCCUAGCCAUGCAGGGCCUUGGGCAAGUUACUUCCUCACUCUGUGCCUCAGUUUCCUGAACUGUAACAUGGGCUGGCAGUGCUGUGCUGUCACAUGGGAGGCCAGCACACUGCAUCACACACGUCAGCUGUCACACCUCUGCCACCAACAGGAAGUCACGGCGCCUGAGUGACUCCAGGGCACUGGCAGAGGAGCCCAGAGUGGACAGUGCCCCAGGCUCCUGGCAAGUGAAAAGGAAAUGAUACUUCUGUACAAGCCCUCUGUCCUCCCCAACCUCUGUGUAUUGCUUUCUCCCCGGUGCCCCCAGCUUGCUACACAAAGGCACUAUGAGUGGGCUGAGUCCCUGAAACUAAGGCUGAGAGAAGGGACAGGAUGUACUGAGCCACACGGCUGGUGAGGAGCAGGGCCAGGCCCAACAGUGGCAUGUCUCUUGGGAGCCAAAUGGAAACCUUGGGUGAAGGCCUUUGGCAUAAGUUUGGACUGUGGGACAGAGCCUGCCCAGAGAGGACCAGCUCCAGGAUUCUCACCUGCCAAGGAGGGGCCUGGGCUCCGGACACAUGGAUUCAGAGCCUCAGAAAGAGCUCGUCACUCCGAGGAUAAGCCCACCCCGUGUGCCGCAGGAGCCCUACUUCACCUUCAUCCUCUGCCCAGCCCCUGAGAGCUCGUGAACCACAUGGGACCAAGGUUCUUUGGUCAUUUAACAAACAUGCAUCCAGUACCUGGCGUGACCCAAGCACUGAAGAAGCCAGGGUAUAGCUGGCACAAUCUGGGCGUGGCUGCCCCCUCCACGUGCUCUGCUCUGACGCUGAGCACCAACUGCAGCCCAGUCCAGGAGCUGGGAGGAAAAGGGGAGCUGCUGCAGGCGGCCCUCCCAAAUGGAGGCUUGGAAAGUGUCUCAGAGAUGAAAGCCAGCUGGCUCUAAGGCAAGGGCGUCGGGGAAGCAUUUUGAACAGAGAAAAUGGUGUGUGCAGAAGUCUAGGCCAGACAAGGCCUGGUGUGCCGUGGGGUGGGGUUGGAGGUGAGGGUGGCCGAAGGCAGCAAAAUUGAGUUCAAAUAUGGUGCGUGGAGAGGGAUGGAAACGGGACCUCCUAGACGCUACAGGGCCUGAUCUCCCAGGGAUUCCAGGGACUGGCAAGUCUGCCCCACCCCCGAGAACAUCAGGCUGACCCCACGAGGGCUGGUCUAGAAUUUUUAGUUAAGAGCCUGAGAAUCUCCCACCCACCGCAGGCAGAGAGCCACGCCCAGCCCAGAGACUAUCUGAAAACUCUGUGGCAGAGGCCUAGUGUUCCCCACCCAGCGGAGGAGUCUGAAGGUUAGCCAUCUGCCCAGCCAUGGGAGCAGACUCACUAGGGGAGGGGACAGGGAGCUCCCAACUCCAGUCGCCUCAGCGCGAGAAAGCGUGAGGACACGGCUCGGCUCGGGUUUCGAAGUUGAGAACAUCUGGGUUUCUCUUUACCCAGAUGGGAACCCUGAAAUGUUGGAAUUUCUUCUUCACAGCAGUUAGAAGACUUGAGCUCCCCGUAUCAGUUUCUUGCGCCUGGGAAAAUCUCCGUAGGAACAAUCAGAUAUUUUUGGACUUCAAGUGCCUUCAAAUUCCACGUUCAGACUCCACUCCCCGCGUUUGAUUUUUAAUUAGAACGUCCCACUCACCUGUCGAGCGCAAGGUGUUGGGCGGAAGACAUUCUUCAGAGGAGUCUGGGGACGGUGGGGAUAACAGUGUCCGUGUGGAACGGGGUGGCAUUUCCGCAGGUGCAUUUGGAGCUCACAGUUUUCUGAUUGACGGAAUCUGGAAAGUUGUGCUUUAGACACGUACAGAUUUGACUUCAUAGGCUUUGUUCACAUUUAAUAAGAUAUGAAGGUACCUGCUGUUGCUUUGAGGUAGAUAUGCAUACAAUUGUAUGCUGCAGAAAAAGUGAAAUAGAAGGUACAUCAAGUGUGGGGAGCUUUGGUGUCGGGUCAGUUGAUAAUGCCGUCCUACCCAGUGAAGGGUUGUUGUCCUGCUGACUCUGAAAGCCGGACUGAGCUUCUCUGAUUCAAGAAAAGGGAACACAGGAAACUUGAGGGUCUUGUGACAUUGAGGGGUUCUUAGCACACAUGCCUCUGUGUUUUUUUCUUCCCAUUUCUGCCAAGGUUCAAGAUGAUGUAUCACUCUGUGGGAGUUUUAAAAACUAAAUUUUAAAAAUGGCA